rnacentral:rRNA from 1 species
CAGGGAAUCUUCUACAAUGGGCGAAGGCCUGAUGGAGCAACGCCGCGUGUGUGAUGAAGGGUUUCGGCUCGUAAAACACUGUUGUAAGAGAAGAAUGACAUUGAGAGUAACUGUUCAAUGUGUGACGGUAUCUUACCAGAAAGGAACGGCUAAAUACGUGUCAG